rnacentral:lncRNA from 1 species
AGCGAUCAAGUCACCCCUUAACCUUCUUUUCAAUUAAGCUGAGUAAGUUAAGCUCCUUAAACCUUACAUCAUUAAUGCUUGUUUUCCAGGAGCUGGAUCAUUUCUGUGGCCCUUCUUUGAACCUUCCUUAGCAUUUCCACAUCCUUCUCUAGACACAGAGUUGAAAAACAGACACAGUGUCCUCUCACUUAUCUCACCAUUUCUCCACAGAAGCAAAAGAGGAGGGGACGCAGCCUCAUACCCAUUUUCAGGCAUUCAAGGGCCAUUACAAACUUUCGUUUUUGAGGGAAGAAUGUGUUAUAGAGAAUGUAUUAUAUAGAGUGCUAUAUUCCCACAAAACAUUUUAUUCUAGUCUCAUUGUCCAUAAAUUAAAAUCAUUAAGCUGUGCUUUAGUGUUUUUUGGAGCAUGUGGCAUAAAUGCAGUCACUUGAAUUUCAGAUAGUCUUCAGUAUCAGCUUAAAAAAGAGAAAAAAUGGAAAGCGUGUGUGUUUUCCAGAUGCUGUUCUCAUGCCAUGAAUCCUGCAUGCGGACUGCAGAAGGCUCUCAGAGAUGCAAUGAGGUUGAACUUGGCCCUCGGGGAACAACGUUAGCAGGUGAAGUCAUUCUAUGAAGCCACAGAGUCACCGAGUAUUUCUGCAUGGCUCAAACAACUGCCCAGAAGCGAUCUGGUGGGUACCUUCUCCCUCUCCUCUCCCACACUGUUCCCUGUAGGUAGGACCGUGGUUUUGUUCUGCAUGUAUCAAGUCAUUGUACUUACCCUGUGGGGUCACCCAUACAUGUUAAGGCAAGAUCUGGCUUUCAAUGGUAGCUGGCACAGAACACAUUCCUUUCAGGAUAAGAAUUAAACCAAACUACAGAAAUCUUUCUGUUGGCAUACCUAUAUAUACUUUUAAAACAAUCUUUGUGUUCGGUCUGGGCUGACAAAUAGCAGGAUGUGUUUGUCACUAAAGAGAAACAGAGUGAAAAUGAGUAAAGAGGAAAGUAGGGUUAUCCCAUAAAGCCAGAAAAUGGUUCCAAAGCAAGUGGUCUGCAUGGAUCUGUUCUCCUCUCUUGCUCCCUGUGUUACUGUGGUGAGGCUGAAGGCUUCUGCUAUGUACUAAUCCCAGCAUGCUUCAAGUCAUUAUUUUAUUAGAGACUUGAUGAACCAUCACAGGGUCUAGAGAUUGCUCAGAAAAGGAUACUACUUUUUGUCUGUAGUGCUGGAUUCUGACAAUAUCUGAAAAUUACUGAAUUUUCUUGUGUUCGGAUUCCUUGUUUCCUGCCUAUGAAGUUAGUGCUCUGUUGGAUCCCAACGCCACUCAUUUCUUGCUAAGAAACAGACCGAGCUUAUUGAAGGCAGUCAUCAAUUUUACAACUACAGUUCUUACAGUUAGUCAGACAAAUCUUAACUGUCACCUGUUGAAAGGCAUGUCUGAACAGAAUUUGCUCUAAGAGAAAAAAAACACAUCCUUGCUCUGUGUGCAGCUUUGGGUUCCCAGCUGUGAGAUGUGAAGCACAGAACUAGCAGAAGUCCACCAGCAGUGCUGGGUAUUUGCAGGAGGUGCCACACAAGGCAGGCUGAGAGUCUCAGGUAGACCAGAAGGCAACACAGAGAGCCAAGAGGUGCCUGCACCACGAGUUACAGGUUAUUUCUAAACGAGGCAGCAUUUAUUUCAUUAUCCUAUAGCAUUCAUGAGGAAAAAAAAAGUCACGCAGCAACAUUUCCGUCAGCACCUUUGCUCUCCCUUUAUCUUUUGUGGGGAUUAAUGUUUUAAUACUUUAAUAUAUGUAUUUCAAAUGUAUGCUUAAUUAUUUAUAGUUAUAUUUGCUUACCGCACCAGUACAAGUGGGCUUUGUGCUCCUGGCCUUGGAAUAUUGCUCAAUUUCAGUAGCACUUACAAGCUUUUAUACGGAUUAGGCCCCAGUAGCCCACUUGCUGUUUAAAUACAGUAAAAGACUGUGACUGCUCCUAAUUGCUUACUAAGCAACGAUAGCUAUUCAGGAGAGCAUCUGGAGCCUCUUCUGCUCCGCGCAUCAUCAAAAUAAUUCUCAGCUAAAUUCCGAAUGCUAGUCUUCAUUACUGGUAAUUAUGUAACAGGCAGAGAGAUCACAUAAUGCGUUUUGGAGCCGAGCUGAAAUCUGUGAAGAUGGCAGUUAUAUCAUCUGUUGAUUUGCAGAUCGGGCCAGUUUGAUACGGAGUCACUGACAGCAAAUGUAGAGCUCUGCGGAGCUGCUCACACAGUCGCUCCGUUGACUUGGAACAACGGAAUGGAUUUUUAAACUCACUAUAAAAUGGGACAACUAAAGCAACGAGGAAACGUCCAGAAAGACUGCUAGGACGUGCCACGGCUAUCCUGAAAUAAAUGGAUCUGUUUGCAGCUGCUAUCUGAUUGU